rnacentral:rRNA from 1 species
GAUGAACGCUGGCGGCGUGCCUAAUACAUGCAAGUCGAACGAUGAACCGGGUGCUUGCACUCGGGGAUUAGUGGCGAACGGGUGAGUAACACGUGAGCAACCUGCCCCUGACUCUGGGAUAAGCGCUGGAAACGGCGUCUAAUACUGGAUAUGUCCCGUCACCGCAUGGUGUGCGGGUGGAAAGAUUUUUCGGUUGGGGAUGGGCUCGCGGCCUAUCAGCUUGUUGGUGAGGUAAUGGCUCACCAAGGCGUCGACGGGUAGCCGGCCUGAGAGGGUGACCGGCCACACUGGGACUGAGACACGGCCCAGACUCCUACGGGAGGCAGCAGUGGGGAAUAUUGCACAAUGGGCGGAAGCCUGAUGCAGCAACGCCGCGUGAGGGAUGACGGCCUUCGGGUUGUAAACCUCUUUUAGCAGGGAAGAAGCGAGAGUGACGGUACCUGCAGAAAAAGCACCGGCUAACUACGUGCCAGCCGCCGCCGUAA